rnacentral:rRNA from 1 species
AGAGUUUGAUCAUGGCUCAGAUUGAACGCUGGCGGCAGGCCUAACACAUGCAAGUCGAACGGUAACAGGAAUCAGCUUGCUGAUUCGCUGACGAGUGGCGGACGGGUGAGUAAUGUCUGGGAAACUGCCUGAUGGAGGGGGAUAACUACUGGAAACGGUAGCUAAUACCGCAUAAUGUCGCAAGACCAAAGAGGGGGACCUUCGGGCCUCUUGCCAUCGGAUGUGCCCAGAUGGGAUUAGCUUGUUGGUGGGGUAACGGCUCACCAAGGCGACGAUCCCUAGCUGGUCUGAGAGGAUGACCAGCCACACUGGAACUGAGACACGGUCCAGACUCCUACGGGAGGCAGCAGUGGGGAAUAUUGCACAAUGGGCGCAAGCCUGAUGCAGCCAUGCCGCGUGUAUGAAGAAGGCCUUCGGGUUGUAAAGUACUUUCAGCGGGGAGGAAGGGAGUAAAGUUAAUACCUUUGCUCAUUGACGUUAUCCGCAGAAGAAGCACCGGCUAACUCCGUGCCAGCAGCCGCGGUAAUACGGAGGGUGCAAGCGUUAAUCGGAAUUACUGGGCGUAAAGCGCACGCAGGCGGUUUGUUAAGUCAGAUGUGAAAUCCCCGGGCUCAACCUGGAAACUGCAUCUGAUACUGGCAAGCUUGGAGUCUCGUAGAGGGGGGUAGAAUUCCAGGUGUAGCGGUGAAAUGCGUAGAGAUCUGGAGGAAUACCGGUGGCGAAGGCGGCCCCCUGGACGAAGACUGACGCUCAGGUGCGAAAGCGUGGGGAGCAAACAGGAUUAGAUACCCUGGUAGUCCACGCCGUAAACGAUGUCGACUUGGAGGUUGUGCCCUUGAGGCGUGGCUUCCGGAGCUAACGCGUUAAGUCGACCGCCUGGGGAGUACGGCCGCAAGGUUAAAACUCAAAUGAAUUGACGGGGGCCCGCACAAGCGGUGGAGCAUGUGGUUUAAUUCGAUGCAACGCGAAGAACCUUACCUGGUCUUGACAUCCACGGAAGUUUUCAGAGAUGAGAAUGUGCCUUCGGGAACCGUGAGACAGGUGCUGCAUGGCUGUCGUCAGCUCGUGUUGUGAAAUGUUGGGUUAAGUCCCGCAACGAGCGCAACCCUUAUCCUUUGUUGCCAGCGGUCCGGCCGGGAACUCAAAGGAGACUGCCAGUGAUAAACUGGAGGAAGGUGGGGACGACGUCAAGUCAUCAUGGCCCUUACGACCAGGGCUACACACGUGCUACAAUGGCGCAUACAAAGAGAAGCGACCUCGCGAGAGCAAGCGGACCUCAUAAAGUGCGUCGUAGUCCGGAUUGGAGUCUGCAACUCGACUCCAUGAAGUCGGAAUCGCUAGUAAUCGUGGAUCAGAAUGCCACGGUGAAUACGUUCCCGGGCCUUGUACACACCGCCCGUCACACCAUGGGAGUGGGUUGCAAAAGAAGUAGGUAGCUUAACCUUCGGGAGGGCGCUUACCACUUUGUGAUUCAUGACUGGGGUGAAGUCGUAACAAGGUAACCGUAGGGGAACCUGCGGUUGGAUCACCU